GUGGGUUGUGUCCUUGGCUUCGAAUCCAGUGAUCCUGGGUUUGAAUCCCUCAGA
rnacentral:tRNA from 1 species